rnacentral:rRNA from 1 species
UACGAAGGGGGCUAGCGUUGUUCGGAGUUACUGGGCGUAAAGGGCGCGUAGGCGGCGCAUCAAGUCAGGCGUGAAAGCCCUGGGCUCAACCCGGGAAUUGCGCUUGAGACUGGUGUGCUUGAGUACGGGAGAGGAUAGUGGAAUUCCCAGUGUAGAGGUGAAAUUCGUAGAUAUUCGCAAGAACACCAGUGGCGAAGGCGGCUCACUGGCCCGGUACUGACGCUGAGGCACGAAAGCGUGGGGAGCAAACAGG